GAUGAUGCAGCCGUGCAGACUACAAAAACAAGGACCUGGCCAGGUGAGAGAGACCCCAGCUCUGUGAGCUCCAGCGACUGUGUUCCUGCAAGCUGGCGGGAUGACAUUCAUGGGGACAAACUGUUUGAUGCAGUCAGACUCAACUCACUGUGUUCAGAGUCAAUCAUCUGGAGACUCCUGGGUUCCGGGGCUACUUGAGUAUCUCUUGGAAGAAGCUGCAGAUCCGGACAAGAAUGAGAUGGGACUGGAAUGGACUCCAAGUUCUCUUCCCACUGGAGGCUCCUGGCUUCUUGGACCAUCUUAGAAAGGCAGCUGGACCAGAUAUCUCCAGGGCCUCUGCACAGCUCUGAGGUCGUAGAGAGUCUAAACUAUGCUGCCAAGAGCUUCUGGUUUCAGUACACUGUGGCUUGAGAAUGCACCGACAUGAAAUUGCUAGGAUUUGGAGCUUGCCCUGGCAAUGCAGCUGCUGCCUGUGCUUGCCUGAGCUGCCCGAGGCGCAGCCUGUAAAUCCCAGUACUUGGGAGGCUGAGACAGGAGGACAUAGCAA